UGUAUUUUCUUUCUCAGAAGUUGAUUCGGACUGUCAGGGAGAGUACAUCUGAAUGCAGCUCUCUGACAGUAUAUAACAUAUAUACUUCCAGACAAUAUAUUUUUUUAAUCGAUUUUCUUUUGUUUUUUUUGCAAGACAGAGUCUGCAAACAGCUUGCCCUGGUUGUUUUGUUUUCAUUACUCUUUACGCUCUCAUUCUGCAAAUUCUUAAUUUGGAUGCUAGCUAACUAGCUAACUUUAGUUGUUACCCCUUGAACUUUCCGAUUUGUCUACGUUCAAGAAUUUUGGACACCCGAACAGAUAUCAAAAUAGAUUUCUUUUAGCUAGUUUGCAAAAAUGGAUUUUAAAAACGUUAUCAGCGAUUUCAGCCCUAUCACCGCUAACUUGAUCAACAGGCCCGACAGAAUCCACGGGCUUUUCCCACUGUCGCUGCCCGAUAUUGCUUCAACUUGCAUCAAGAAUAAUCUCUUCUCUCCUGGACCGACAAAUGUACUGUCACCCGUCACUAAUCUGGCCCUAAACAUGAACAAUCUAGCUGGACUUGGAAGCCAACAAUGUGAAACUCCCAAGAGGAAAGGACAUGUGCCUCUCCUGAAGAUUCCGUCUUUCGCCUCCGACUGCUCGUCUGAUGCUGGUCUUGGUAUGGAUUCCCCAUUGGACCAUGUGGAUGUUGAGGAGAGGU